AAUUGGAAAUGUGGGUCAUUUAUACACACACACACACCAAACAUGUAUUACAUUUAUACUUGCUGUUAUCAUUUGGACUAAUUAACCUUAAACUUAUGUCCCAAAGGCUUUUGUGUCUAAGUUUGAAUGUCAAACAAUAACAAAUUGUCAUCCACUGAUCAAUUUCUUAAAUACAUAUCUUAUAUAAUUAUACAAAUUUUUUGUGAGUUGCAGAUAGCUUCUUUGGAGGUUGACAGCUGCAGUGCUGAUGAGCCCAGAGAUUUUUGUUUGUCACAGCAUGAAGGUAUUGGAAUCCAGAGGACUCUGGAUGUUAGAACCAACAACCUAACACUGGGUGGUGUAAAGUCCAUUGAUGUAAUUUUGCUGAGGCCUUAUCAAGUGAGAACUCAUAACUUUGUUGGAUGUGUGAGAAAUAUGAAAUUAAAUGAUGUCUUGCUUGAUACUUCAAAGGCUCUGGCGACUCACAAGAUACUUGAAAUUUGUCCACGGACAGAUGUAGCUCCUUGCAGCAGCAGUAAAUGUCUUAAUGGAGGAGUUUGCCAAGAUCUCUGGUCUCAUCACUACUGCCAGUGUGCUGAGAAUUUCACUGGACCUAACUGUGAUAGCAGUAAUGUGUUUUUGUUUGUUUGUUUCUCCCAUUUCCUUCCAAUUAUUUUAAGAAUUUAUAUUUUAUUUGAUUAUUUUAUUAUAUGAAUUACCAAGAUCAACAUUGAACAUGAUAGAAAAAUCAAACGUCUUAGCAGUUUUUGAAUAAUGUUAAUUUACCCAACAGAUGUCUCUGAGAAUCAUGGAUUAUUUCUCAGUAAGGGGACAUAUAUUGAGUUUGUUGUCAAGGAAAGCUACCUUAGAAACCAGUUGCUUCAAGCCUUUCUGAAUGAAGAAGAUGGAGCCAGUCAAGGGUUUGCCAGUUUUGAGAUAAAAAUGAGGACAAUCAAAAAGGACAGUAUUUUAAUUAUUUGUCGAAGCAAAACAGUGCACCUAGAACUUAAGGUAAGCAAUUUGCCUUAGUUCAAUAUAGCAUGUGGAAUUUGAGCAAAAAACAAGCAUACACACUGAUUCUAAUAGCAUAGUUGGCCACAGUAACGUUGAAUCUUUGAUUUUAUUUUAUUUUUUACCUAUUCAGAUACUUGAUGGGAAACCUCUGUACAAGUUCACACAUUUAAUGUCAGGACACCAGUGGGAGCUUGGUGUGGAGAGUAGUGUGUCAGAUGGACAAUGGCAUGUCCUCCUCUUGCGCAGACAUGGACCAAACAUCAUUUUAAUCCUGGAUGAGCAGAUCAUUAGGAAUAUUACCCAUAGCA